UCUUCGGAUUUGUGGAAAGUGGCGAACGGGUGCGUAACACGUGAGCAACCUGCCCUAAAGUGCGGAAUAGCCUGUUGAAAAAUGGAUUAAUGCCGCAUGUGGCUCUUCUUCGCAUGGAGAAGUAGCUAAAGCUUGUAAUGGCGCUUUAGGAUGGGCUCGCGGCCUAUCAGCUUGUUGGUAAGGUAAAAGCUUACCAAGGCUAAGACGGGUAGCUGGUCUGAGAGGAUGAUCAGCCACACCGGGACUGAGACACGGCCCGGACACCUACGGGUGGCAGCAGUUUCGAAUCAUUCACAAUGGGCGAAAGCCUGAUGAUGCAAUGCCGCGUGGAGGAUGAAGGCCUUAGGGUCGUAAACUCCUGUCAUUGGGGAACAACAAGUAGGUUUAUAGCCUAUCAUGAGUUAACCCAAAGAGGAAGAGGUGGCUAACUCCGUGCCAGCAGCCGCGGUAAUACGGAGACCUCGAGCGUUACUCGGAUUCACUGGGCGUAAAGGGUGAGUAGGUGGCUAGGUAUGUCA
rnacentral:rRNA from 1 species